rnacentral:rRNA from 1 species
AGGGCACCACCAGGAGUGGAGCCUGCGGCUUAAUUUGACUCAACACGGGAAAACUCGCCCGGCCCGGACACUGGAAGGAUUGACAGAUUGAGAGCUCUUUCUUGAUUCAGUGGGUGGUGGUGCAUGGCCGUUCUUAGUUGGUGGAGUGAUUUGUCUGGUUAAUUCCGAUAACGAACGAGACUCUAGCCUACUAAAUAGAUCGUCGGCUUACAAACGCCGGCGAGACUUCUUAGAGGGACAGGCGGUGAUUCAACCGCACGAAACGGAGCAAUAACAGGUCUGUGAUGCCCUUAGAUGUCCGGGGCCGCACGCGCGCUACACUGAAGUGAUCAGCGUGCUUUUUCAACCUACUCUGUCAAGAGUGGGGAACCCAAUGAACCUUCUUCGUGAUUGGGAUAGGGGAUUGUAAUUAUUCCCCUUGAACGAGGAAUUCCCAGUAAGCGCGAGUCAUAAGCUCGCGUUGAUUACGUCCCUGCCCUUUGUACACACCGCCCGUCGCUACUACCGAUUGAAUGUUUU